rnacentral:lncRNA from 1 species
AUGAAGAAUCCGAGGAGGAGGCCCCACCCCCAAAGAAGGCUGAAGGUCACGGCUGCCAAGGAGGAGUCUGACGACGAUGAUGAUGAGGACUCUGAGGAAGAGGAGAUGGAUACCACCCCGGCACCCGCAGCAAAGAAAGCAGGCAUGGUCAAGGCUAAGGAGGAGUCUGACGAUGAUGAGGCCCCAGCGACUCCUGCAAAAGAGGAAGGCCGACAGCAAGAAAGCCAAGUCCGAAAGCGAUGGUAAGUUAUGGUUCAGCCCUUUCAACACCUGCUCCCACACUGAACCAUAAUACGCAUGAUGAACAAGGG